UACGUAGGGUGCGAGCGUUGUCCGGAAUUAUUGGGCGUAAAGAGCUCGUAGGCGGUCUGUCGCGUCUGCUGUGAAAACCCGAGGCUCAACCUCGGGCCUGCAGUGGGUACGGGCAGACUAGAGUGCGGUAGGGGAGAAUGGAAUUCCUGGUGUAGCGGUGGAAUGCGCAGAUAUCAGGAGGAACACCGAUGGCGAAGGCAGUUCUCUGGGCCGUAACUGACGCUGAGGAGCGAAAGCGUGGGAGCGAACAGG
rnacentral:rRNA from 1 species